rnacentral:rRNA from 1 species
GGAAUAUUGCACAAUGGGGGAAAACCUGAUGCCGCAACGCCGCGUGAAGGAAGACAGUUUUCGGAUUGUAACCUUCUUUUCUUAGUGAAGAAGACAGUGACGGUAGCUAAGGAAUACGCAUCGGCUAACUACGUGCCAGUAGCCGCGGUAAUACGUAGGAUGCGAGCGUUAUCCGGAAUUACUGGGUGUAAAGGGAGCGCAGGCGGGACUGCAAGUUGGAUGUGAAAUGCCGCAGCUUAACUGCGGAGCUGCAUCCAAAACUGUAGUUCUUGAGUGGAGUAGAGGCAAGCGGAAUUCCGAGUGUAGCGGUGAAAUGCGUAGAUAUUCGGAGGAACACCAGUGGCGAAGGCGGCUUGCUGGGCUCUAACUGACGCUGAGGCUCGAAAGUGUGGGGAGCAAAC